AUGAUGGAUUUCAAGGCAGGACUGCUGCUUUUAGCUGUUUACUGCGCAGGUGUUGAUUGUCAGACUCUGAGAGAAUCUGAACCAGUGAUUAAAAGGCCUGGAGACUCUCACAGACUGACCUGUACAGCCUCUGGAUUCACAUUCAGCAGCUACUGGAUGAACUGGAUCAGACAGGCUCCUGGAAAAGGACUGGAGUGGAUUGCAACUGAUACAGGUGGUAGUAGCAAAUACUACUCUCAGUCAGUACAAGGCCGGUUUACUGUCUCCAGAGACAACAGCAGAGAGCAGCUGUAUCUGCAGAUGAACAGCCUGAAGACUGAAGAUUCUGCUGUUUAUUACUGUGCCCGAGAGUCACAGUGA